CCUUUCGUCUCCUUCCCCACCUCUCUCUCUCUCUCUCUAACCAAACCCCCCGGAAACGAAAAAUCUCUCCCACUCCAACUCUUCCAUCCGAGUAGUGUAGAACUCGCACCAACGCCCUCUCCUGCGGCCGUCAAAAUCCAAUCUUUCCGCUCUCCGCCACCGUUUUCGGGGCUUUUUUUCGCCCGCACAGCCGCAAGAUUGAUCUUACCUUGAUUCAAUCGAACCUCAGACAUCAGUCCAAUCCCCAGCAGGUUUUCGUCAAUUGCAAAGUCCGGCAGUGGAUCGGAAGCAUGGGGUUCCGAUCCGCCGGCGCGAUGCUGCAGUUGCUGGUGUGGGCAGCGCUCCUGCUGGGCUGCUGCCACGGGAGGUUCGUGGUGGAGAAGAACAGCCUCAAGGUGACGGCGCCGGAUGACCUCAAGGGCACCUACGAGUGCGCCAUUGGCAACUUCGGCGUGCCCCAGUACGGCGGCACCAUGGUCGGCUUCGUCGCCUACCCCAAGGCCAACAAGAAGGCCUGCAAGAGCUUCGACGAUUUCGACAUCUCCUACAAGGCCAAGCCGGGAGCGUUCCCCACUUUCCUGCUAGUCGACAGGGGAGAUUGCUACUUCACAAAGAAGGCAUGGAAUGCACAGAAUGCAGGAGCAGCAGCAAUCCUUGUUGCUGAUGACAAGGAUGAACCUCUAAUUACAAUGGACACCCCUGAGGAGAGUGGGAGGGCAGAUUACUUAGAGAACAUCACUAUUCCUUCAGCGCUAAUAACCAAGAGCUUUGGGGAUAGGCUCAAGAAGGCAAUUGAUAAUGGUGACAUGGUUAAUGUAAAUUUGGAUUGGAGAGAGGCCCUGCCCCACCCUGAUGAGCGUGUUGAGUAUGAAUUUUGGACCAACAGCAAUGAUGAAUGUGGCCCAAAAUGCGAUAGCCAGACUGAUUUUGUCAAGAGCUUCAAAGGAGCAGCACAGGUACUUGAGAAGAAGGGCUACACAGAGUUCACUCCUCACUACAUUACAUGGUAUUGUCCAGAGGCCUUCAUUCUGAGCAAGCAGUGCAAGUCCCAGUGCAUCAAUCAUGGGAGAUACUGUGCGCCUGACCCAGAACAGGAUUUUAGCAAAGGAUAUGAUGGGAAAGAUGUGGUGAUCCAGAAUUUGCGCCAAGUUUGUGUGUUUAAGGUUGCUAAGGAGCACAAGAAGCCUUGGUUAUGGUGGGACUAUGUUACUGAUUUUGCGAUCCGAUGCCCAAUGAAGGAAAAGAAGUACACCAAGGAGUGUGCUGAUGGGGUUAUCAAGUCACUUGGCCUUGAUCAUAAGGCAAUAGAUAAAUGUAUUGGUGAUCCAGAUGCUGAUGAAGAAAACCCUGUUCUGAAAGCUGAACAAGAUGCACAGAUCGGCAAGGGCUCUCGUGGUGAUGUUACCAUCUUACCAACUCUGGUAAUCAAUAAUAGACAAUACAGAGGGAAGCUUGACAAAGGGGCAGUUCUUAAAGCACUUUGUGCUGGUUUUCGGGAAACCACUGAGCCAGCUGUUUGCUUGAGUGAAGAUAUACAAACAAAUGAGUGCCUAGAGAACAAUGGUGGCUGUUGGCAAGAUAAGGCUGCUAACAUCACUGCAUGCAAGGAUACUUUCCGUGGAAGAGUUUGUGAAUGUCCAGUUGUGAAAGGAGUAAAAUUCGUUGGUGAUGGCUAUACUCACUGUGAAGCUUCUGGAUCUGGGAGAUGUGAAAUUAACAAUGGAGGGUGUUGGAAAGAGACCAGGAAUGGUCGGACAUACUCUGCCUGCACUGAUGAUGGCUGUAAAUGCCCGGAUGGGUUCAAGGGUGAUGGUAAGCACAAAUGUGAAGAUAUUGAUGAAUGCAAGGAAAGGACUGCAUGCCAAUGCAAAGAAUGCAAAUGCAAGAACACAUGGGGAAGCUAUGAGUGUGGCUGCAGUGGAGGAUUGCUUUACAUGAAGGAGCAUGAUACAUGCAUAAGCAAAAAUGGAGCAACAGAAACAGGCUGGGGCUUCUUGUGGGUCAUCUUCUUUGGCCUUGUAGCAGCAGGAAUUGCAGGAUAUGCAGUGUACAAGUACAGGAUCCGGAGGUAUAUGGACUCGGAGAUCCGUGCCAUCAUGGCUCAGUACAUGCCCCUGGACAACCAAGGAGAUGUUCAGAGUCAUUCUCAUCAUAUUGAGAUGUGAAUAGGAUGCAGACUUUAUAAGAGGAAACCAAGAUGUGAUCCAACAUCCAACUCAUAUAAACUUGGGGUUAGAUGUGCAUAACUGACCAAUAAAGGAGAUGGCAGACGGGCAUGACUGGUGUUCAGUCAUGUUUGUGGUCACUGGUUUGUCAAUGGUGGAGGGAUAUGACUGCCAACAAACAGAAAACUGUGCCUGGUGUUUUUGCUUGAUUCGUGAUGGCUAUCCACUGAAUGGAAUUUGUUUGUAUUUUUAAGAGCAGGGACUGGACAUCUAUGUGCGUGAUACUCGAGGCGGGUGUUUAACAGACAGAAGUAUUGCUCCUUGUAAAACAUAUGUUCGAGCGGAAUCGGUUGCUGAGAAAGUUGGCUACCAGUGGCUAACUGAAAUAUAAAGCGUUCUGGGAUCACAUACGUUGCGUAUGUAUCAGCAUCUGAUCUUGUAACAGGUGCAUUGAAAUAUGAGAUCGACAGAGCUGAUGCUAAUUGUUUAUUUGUA